AUUGAACGCUGGCGGCAGGCCUAACACAUGCAAGUCGAGCGGAGCUGCGGACGGGUGAGUAAUGCCUAGGAAUCUGCCUGGUUGUGGUGGCUACCGUCCGGAAACGGGCGCUAAUACCGCAUACUAUCAGAUGAGCCUCGUUCGGAUUAGCUAGUUGGUGGGGUAAAGGCCUACCAAGUCGACGAUCCGUAACGGGUCUGAGAGGAGGAUCAGUCACACUGGAACUGAGAAACGGUCCAGACUCCUACGGGAGGCAGCAGUGGGGAAUAUUGGACAAUGGGGGAAAGCCGGAUCCAGACAUGCGGCGGGUGUGAAGAAGGCGUUCGGGUGGUAAAGCACUUUCAGCGAGGAGGCGUUACGCGCAGAAGAAGCACCGGCUAACUCCGUGCCAGCAGCCGCGGUAAUAC
rnacentral:rRNA from 1 species